rnacentral:rRNA from 1 species
UACAGAGGGUGCAAGCGUUAAUCGGAAUUACUGGGCGUAAAGCGUGCGUAGACGGUCAUGUAAGUCGGGUGUGAAAGCCCCGGGCUCAACCUGGGAAUUGCAUUCGAGACUGCAUGGCUAGGAUGCGGAAGAGGGAAGCGGAAUUUCCGGUGUAGCGGUGAAAUGCGUAGAGAUCGGGAGGAAGGCCGGUGGCGAAGGCGGCGCUCUGGAACAUUUCUGACGCUGAGGCUCGAAAGCGUGGGGAGCAAACAGG